GAAUGUUCAACAAAGGGCAGUGGCAGUCAGCUCUCCUCAUUCCUUUCCAUCUCCUCAACCACUGAUGUCUUUGCAUUCCCCUCGAUUACAUGGAGGAGAAUGCCACGGGGUAACAGAAGAUGGUUUUGCUAGGGGCGCCUGCCUGGCUCAGAAGAUGGAGCACGUGACUCUCGAUCUCGGGGUGAUCCUAACAGAGCCCACCUCCACACCUAUGAGGACCCGUGAGACCCCGCAAAGUGCCUGAUCCAGGGAAGCCUUCAGCCAGCCGGUUACUGUGGCUACUUCUGCUAUGAAAUCCCAGGACCUGGCAGGAAUAUUUGCAAAAUAGGGCACUGAGGAAACCAGUAAGUACUACAACCAAUAAGUACCACAAUAAGUACUAAUAACUACUAAUAAGUACUAAUAACCAAUA
rnacentral:lncRNA from 1 species